rnacentral:miRNA from 23 species
CUAGCACCAUUUGAAAUCAGUGU